UCGAGGAUCUUCGGCAAUGGGCGCAAGCCUGACCGAGCGACGCCGCGUGCGCGAUGAAGGCCUUCGGGUUGUAAAGCGCUGUCGAGGGGGAGGAAGCCGCAAGGUUGACCUAUCCCUGGAGGAAGCACGGGCUAAGUUCGUGCCAGUAGCCGCGGUAAGACGAACCGUGCGAACGUUGUUCGGAAUCACUGGGCUUAAAGGGCGCGUAGGCGGACUGGCCAGUCCGGGGUGAAAUCGUCCGGCUUAACCGGACAUGGGCCUUGGAUACUGCCAGUCUGGAGCGAGGUAGGGGCCCGCGGAACUUCCGGUGGAGCGGUGAAAUGCGUUGAUAUCGGAAGGAACGCCGGUGGCGAAAGCGGCGGGCUGGACCUCGGCUGACGCUGAGGCGCGAAAGCCAGGGGAGCGAACGGGAUUAGAUACCCCGGUAGUCCUGGCCCUAAACGAUGGGUACUAGGUUGUGGACCAGGCAUGGGUUCCCAGCCGGAGCAAAAGUGUUAAGUACCCCGCCUGGGGA
rnacentral:rRNA from 1 species